rnacentral:rRNA from 1 species
AGGAUGGACCCGCGUCUGAUUAGCUAGUUGGUAAGGUAACGGCUUACCAAGGCGACGAUCAGUAGCCGACCUGAGAGGGUGAUCGGCCACAUUGGAACUGAGACACGGUCCAAACUCCUACGGGAGGCAGCAGUGGGGAAUAUUGCACAAUGGGCGAAAGCCUGAUGCAGCAACGCCGCGUGAGCGAUGAAGGCCUUCGGGUCGUAAAGCUCUGUCCUCAAGGAAGAUAAUGACGGUACUGAGGAGAAGCCCCGG